UAAGGAGUAGUUUAAUGGAAAAACGAGGAACUUUGACUUCCUUGUUGUGGGUUCAAUUCCCAUCUCCUUAA
rnacentral:tRNA from 15 species